AGGGAAAGGCGAAAAGAACCCCGGCGAGGGGAGUGAAAAAGAACCUGAAACCGUGUACGUACAAGCAGUGGGAGCACAGAGCAAUCUGUGUGACUGCGUACCUUUUGUAUAAUGGGUCAGCGACUUAUAUUCUGUAGCAAGGUUAACCGAAUAGGGGAGCCGAAGGGAAACCGAGUCUUAACUGGGCGUUAAGUUGCAGGGUAUAGACCCGAAACCCGGUGAUCUAGCCAUGGGCAGGUUGAAGGUUGGGUAACACUAACUGGAGGACCGAACCGACUAAUGUUGAAAAAUUAGCGGAUGACUUGUGGCUGGGGGUGAAAGGCCAAUCAAACCGGGAGAUAGCUGGUUCUCCCCGAAAGCUAUUUAGGUAGCGCCUCGUGAAUUCAUCUCCGGGGGUAGAGCACUGUUUCGGCAAGGGGGUCAUCCCGACUUACCAACCCGAUGCAAACUGCGAAUACCGGAGAAUGUUAUCACGGGAGACACACGGCGGGUGCUAACGUCCGUCGUGAAGAGGGAAACAACCCAGACCGCCAGCUAAGGUCCCAAAGUCAUGGUUAAGUGGGAAACGAUGUGGGAAGGCCCAGACAGCCAGGAUGUUGGCUUAGAAGCAGCCAUCAUUUAAAGAAAGCGUAAUAGCUCACUGGUCGAGUCGGCCUGCGCGGAAGAUGUAACGGGGCUAAACCAUGCACCGAAGCUGCGGCAGCGACGCUUAUGCGUUGUUGGGUAGGGGAGCGUUCUGUAAGCCUGCGAAGGUGUGCUGUGAGGCAUGCUGGAGGUAUCAGAAGUGCGAAUGCUGACAUAAGUAACGAUAAAGCGGGUGAAAAGCCCGCUCGCCGGAAGACCAAGGGUUCCUGUCCAACGUUAAUCGGGGCAGGGUGAGUCGACCCCUAAGGCGAGGCCGAAAGGCGUAGUCGAUGGGAAACAGGUUAAUAUUCCUGUACUUGGUGUUACUGCGAAGGGGGGACGGAGAAGGCUAUGUUGGCCGGGCGACGGUUGUCCCGGUUUAAGCGUGUAGGCUGGUUUUCCAGGCAAAUCCGGAAAAUCAAGGCUGAGGCGUGAUGACGAGGCACUACGGUGCUGAAGCAACAAAUGCCCUGCUUCCAGGAAAAGCCUCUAAGCAUCAGGUAACAUCAAAUCGUACCCCAAACCGACACAGGUGGUCAGGUAGAGAAUACCAAGGCGCUUGAGAGAACUCGGGUGAAGGAACUAGGCAAAAUGGUGCCGUAACUUCGGGAGAAGGCACGCUGAUAUGUAGGUGAAGUCCCUCGCGGAUGGAGCUGAAAUCAGUCGAAGAUACCAGCUGGCUGCAACUGUUUAUUAAAAACACAGCACUGUGCAAACACGAAAGUGGACGUAUACGGUGUGACGCCUGCCCGGUGCCGGAAGGUUAAUUGAUGGGGUCAGCGCAAGCGAAGCUCUUGAUCGAAGCCCCGGUAAACGGCGGCCGUAACUAUAACGGUCCUAAGGUAGCGAAAUUCCUUGUCGGGUAAGUUCCGACCUGCACGAAUGGCGUAAUGAUGGCCAGGCUGUCUCCACCCGAGACUCAGUGAAAUUGAACUCGCUGUGAAGAUGCAGUGUACCCGCGGCAAGACGGAAAGACCCCGUGAACCUUUACUAUAGCUUGACACUGAACAUUGAGCCUUGAUGUGUAGGAUAGGUGGGAGGCUUUGAAGUGUGGACGCCAGUCUGCAUGGAGCCGGCCUUGAAAUACCACCCUUUAAUGUUUGAUGUUCUAACGUUGACCCGUAAUCCGGGUUGCGGACAGUGUCUGGUGGGUAGUUUGACUGGGGCGGUCUCCUCCUAAAGAGUAACGGAGGAGCACGAAGGUUGGCUAAUCCUGGUCGGACAUCAGGAGGUUAGUGCAAUGGCAUAAGCCAGCUUGACUGCGAGCGUGACGGCGCGAGCAGGUGCGAAAGCAGGUCAUAGUGAUCCGGUGGUUCUGAAUGGAAGGGCCAUCGCUCAACGG
rnacentral:rRNA from 1 species